UUUAUUUUUGUGUUGACUAUACUUUACUUAUUUUCAAAUAUUAAAUAUAGAUAUAAUUAUAAUCCUUUGUAAUAUGAUACGGGAGACUCGAUAGAUGCUGUGCAUUUCCAACAUUGAUAACUCACCACUAUCACAUAUGCCAUACGGUAGCAAUCAUAUUAAUCUCAUCAAUCUUAAUAUCAAGUGUUAUUUAAAUUUAAUAAUUAUUAACUAUUUUUAAAUUUUAUAAAUAUAAAAUUCAAUAAGAUUUUUAAUUUUAUUAAAUCAUAAAAAUAUGAGGUGUCAACUCUUAAUUGACUUGAACAAUAACUUAAAAUGAUCCGAUUGACUUGAACCGAAUAGGUUUUCAACUAUAAUCAAAUUGAAACGAUAUCAAAUUAGAAUGUGUUACAUUCCAAAGCUCCUUGGAAUGUAUUACAUUCCUUUAGGAUAGAAAAUUCAUAUCAAAUGCUCGAUCCAACCAAUGAUACCUAAAGCUUCCGCUUUGCAUGUGACGUGUUUGACAAAAAAAAUCAAAGUGCUUGACAAGAUUAAAGUAUCUUCUUUGCUUAUGAUGCAUCCAUCUAGAAUAAGAAAAUAUACGAUGAGUCCAAAUCAAUAGAAGCAUCUCAUUUACAUACGCCCAUUUUGAAUAAAAAAUAUAUCUAAAACAUAUAAUAUAAUAAAAUUAUCCACUUGUAUUUGAUGCAUCUUUCCAAUAUAAAAAGGUAUUUAAAAUGUCUAAGGUGGUCGACCAAACUCAAAAUAUCCUAUUUGCAUAUGAUACGCUCGUUUAGGAAAAAAAAUCUAAAGUAUUCGACGUAGCCAUAGUUUGCCAUUUGUGAGUGAUGUGUUUGCUGUAAAUAAAAAUAAUAAAAAAACUUUCAAAGUGCUCAAUGUGGUCGGUUAGCUUAAAAACAUCACUUUUGCAUUUGAUACUUUUACAUGAGACAAAAAAAAAAAAAGCCUUGAUGAGACCAAAGUGUGACCUUUGCAUGUCAAAAAAUAUAUUUAAAUUAUCUAUUGUAAAUAAAGUAUCCCCUUUACGCAUGAUAAUUUUGUCUUAGAUAAAAAAGUAACUAAUAUGUUUUUGAUGAACACAUCCUUUUUACACGAUGUGUGCAUCUCGAUUAAAGAAAUAUCUAGAACAUCUUAAGCAAUCAUAACAUCCUCUAUACACCUAAUACAUCCACCUAAGACAAAGAAGUAUUUGAAGGCUCUAAUAGUAUCAAAGUAUCCCUUUGCGCAUGAUGCGUUUACUCGGGACAAAAAAAGAAUUUAAAGAAUAUCCAUGAUUAAAAUGUUACUUUAGAUAUGAUUAAAGUAUCAUCUUUCGUGCAAGAUACAUCCACUUAUGAGAACAAAGACAUCAUAGCUCCUAAUAUGAUAAAGAUAUCAUAGCUCCUAAUAUGAUAAAUGCAUCCCUUUAUGUGAGACGUGUUUGCCUUCGACAAAAAAAAAACCUAAAUCUUCUAAUGCAAAUGCAAAUAAAGCAUUCUUGGUACCUUGACAAGACGUAAAAAUAUCUAAUAUGACUUACACGAUUAAAAUAUCCCCUUCUACUUGCUAUAUUAGCAUAGGACAAGAAAUAAUACCACUUAAUAAUCUUAGAAUUCAAGUAAUAGGUCCCAAAAUCUAUACUGUGCUAUAUGAUAGAUAAGCUUAUAUCUCAAAUACGAGGGCAAAUGAUAUAACCAUUAUAUUUAGUCAAUUAUAACAUGACAUAUGGAUUCUAACCAAUGCAUCUUGAAUAUAUUAAAUAUUUAAACAACCUAAUAGAUAUGCUAUAUUAGCAUAUUAUAUAAAUGAGAGUAACUCACUAUAUAAGGCAACCUUUGUAAGGCUAUUGAUUUUGUGUUGGAGUUAACUUGGGAAUGAGAAAACUAUAAAUAUAGAGAAAGGGAGGGCAGCGAAUCUUUGUCUUCACCAUAUUAUGGCCGAUUGGUCUAAUCUUCACCAAGAUGUCCUAAAUCUCAUUUUCUCUGAGCUAUCCCUACACGGUCUCCUCUGUUGCACCGUUAUAUGUGGCACAUGGUUACGCACCAUCCGUGAUCUUCGUCGAUACUGCUCCAAGCUUUGCCACCAAAGCCCUUGGCUCGCAUUUAGUGGUAGUAGUGACGGCAUAGGUAGUGCCACCGAUGACCCCUUCGCUGCCCACUUCUUUAGCCUCUCAGAGCAGAAGGUGUACACCAUCCCCCUCCCACAACCUCCGAUUCGUAAUCGCCUCUUUCUGGGUUCCUCCUAUGGGUGGCUGAUUACCAUCGAUGAGUGUUUCAAGAUACGACUAUUAAACCCCAUCAAUGGUGCACAAAUCAACAUCCCCUUCAUCCUCACACUCGAUAACAUCGGAUCCUUCCGCGACCCAUGGGGGCGCAUAAGAGGCAACGCAAAUAACAUCAUCCAUAACCAAUAUCUAGGGGAAGAGAUUCCUAAGCUCAACUUCAAGGCCAUGCUAUCGUCUGACCCCUCACGAGGAGACUACAUUGUUACACUUAUCCACUACCCCUAUGGGGGCAUCUCCAUUGCUAGAUCUAAUGACAAUAAGUGGACGACGAUGUCAUUUCCUGGUCUCUAUCAAGAUGCCAUCUUCUAUAAGGACCAACUCUAUGCGACAUUUUAUGGAAGGAUAGACAUUUGGGAUGACCUCGAUCAAGAGUGGAAGACGGUGGUGCCUGAGCCGAAGUUGGAUGAAAUUUAUCCCUUCCACUUUUCAUUUUGGUUGUUGGUUCAGACUCCCUCGUGUGAUCUCCUCCAUGUUUGGGGGAAGAUAGCCCCAACGACAAAGCAUAAUAAUGAUAAAAUUAAAAUUCCACUUAUGAUAGUUGAUAGAUUGGACAUCCAUAAUGGCACCUCCUUACAGGUCAAUAUCUCAUAUACAUAUCUCUUUAUCUUGAUUAUAUAUAUAUAUAUAUAUAUAUAUAUAUAAAAAGAAUCAAACCAUAACUUUUAGGUUUUCUUCCUUCAAUCCUUCUCAUAUUAUGAUUCUUUAUUUUCCUAGACACUUCCUUUAGGAAUCCCAGAUACUUUCCAAUUCUAACAAUCUAAAAAUAUUUUGUCUAUAAAUAGAUAAACUUAUUAUCUUUAUCUUCUCUUGUGACUCCUGAAUAAAGAAUAUUUUUACUUUACACUUUUACCAAUCUUCCUUUCUCAUCCUUACUAAAUCUCAUACCACUUAUUAGGAACAAAAAAAAACAAAACAAAAGGAAAAUCUGUAGAUCAAUAAUAAUAAAUAUACCAAAAAAUCAAUAUAAGAUUAAUGUUGUUAGAUACAUCACACCUUAUAAAACUUAAUUAUUCAAUAUGUGAGAUUAAUUGCAAUACAGUUGACUUAUCCUCUCUCAAAUAUAAAAAACUAUUAUACAUAAAAAAAAUUAUAUAUUUUCUCUUACCCUCUCUAGAAAUAUAGAGAAUACCUUUUCUCGAUACUCUAGAGAAAAACCCAAGAGCACCCAAGUAUUCGUUGUUCUCCAAACACUCUAGAAAGAAACUCAAAAGCACCUAAGUAUUUCUCACAUCUUGUUUAAAGGAAGUAACUCCUAGUAAACUUGGUUCAAAUAAUUAUAUAUAUAUCUUAAAUUUUUAGAAUCAUUGAAUCUAUCCGCCUUGCAGCAUAAACUUUGGAUAUAGUUUCAUGAAACUUUAGGAAUGGUUGGUCAUCUAAUUAAAAUUUUUAACAUGCUAGACUUUGGACCUUUCUAAUAUCAAACUUGAUUAUUUUGAUAAAACAGGUGAAGAAUUUGGGAGAAUAUGCGCUCUUUUUAUGCAACAAUCAAUCUCUUUGUCUCUCUUGUAAAGAGUUUCCCGAGUUGAGAUCAAACCACAUCUAUUUCACUAGUGACUUCUGGUGGUUGAAUAAUCACUAUAGAAAGAAAUGCUGGGAUUUAAUCGUCUAUGACUUGGAGAACGAUACCUUCUCAUAUAUUUUGCACUCUGAUGCUCGUCUAAACAUGCCACCUCCUAUUUGGAUCACUCCCAGUCCUCUGCUUAAUGACUGAUAGGUGAGUCAAAUUUGUCAUUCAAUCAUUUAGUUUAGAGGUUUUGUAAUAGCAUCCACUUUUUUCAUUGUACAAUUUAUUAUCUCAUUUACUUUAGUACAAAUAUUCUAAAGGAUAUUGCACACUUCUUUUUCUUUAGUCUUGAUGCUCAUUUAGUUUCUUUAUUUCUCAUGUAAUUUAGGAGUUUAAGCAUUCUCUUGGAGACGCAAAAGAACAUUCUCUCUCUCUCUCUCUCUCUUUCAUGCAGCUUCUUCUUCCUCCUUCGGAAGAAGCCAAUGAUAUCUAUAUGUACAAGUGAGUCACAGAAUCUUUUGCUUUCGAUCAUUCUCGUCUCUGAUCUGUUUGCCUACACCGAGGUGGAAGGCUUCGCUCUCUAAGGUCUGUCUGAUGGGAUGGGUUAUGGCCUUGAGCUUCUCAUCAAGAAUUAUUCUUAUUCAGUUUCAACUCUUGUGUAAUAUGAAUCCUGAUCAGAUGAUGUGUAUGUUUUGUUCGGAGCCUGCUUUAUCUGAUGUGUUUAUAUCAAUGUUGGUUUUGGCUGUUCCAUAUCUAACAAUCCGACUUCUCCUUGCUCAUCUCAAAGAUGUAUAAUCUUUCGUAUGUAAAAGGAAGUUUGCACUGCCUCAACGGGAUUGCCAUUUUCAUCACUUCAAAAUAUAAAGAUUCAUUCAUAAGUGAGAUGAUGAAACUUCAUUUGUUCUCUCGACGUAUGAUAAGAUAUCUGAGGCCUUUUGGACCUCAUGACCUUGUCAUCUAAUGAGUCAUCAUUGAUCCCUCAAGAAAUUAUCUAAUGUGGAAUCUCCGCAUGGUUUUAUCCUACAAAGUACUUCUUUCUUUGGCUUCCAUACACCAUCUUAGGCCAACCCUAACUGGUUCUAACAGGGAACAUGUGGCAGGCACACUCGACCUCCACGUGUGCACAGCAAGUCCACAAACCAUAUUAGAAACUUUGACUAAGUAAAAUACAACAUUUUUUUAAUCAUUUAGUUUGAUUAAUGAUUAGCACUGUCACAUAUGAAUGAUCAUGAUUUACGAUGAUCUUCUAAUUAGUUACUCAAGUUACCUUAUUUUCUACCACACUUAUUAGUGGAUGCGGAGGUGGACUAUUGUGGGUUCCACUUGGGCUCCAUCUGUAGUGGAACAGCGGGUGCCCGUAAAAUCUUUACGCAGUGGAACCCUCUUCUGUGACACCAAUAACAUGAUGCCACGUGUAACAAUAUUCAUUUGCGGAACCCAAUACCUCCACUCCUCCAAAAGCCACCUUCUUCCGAUUUUUAUUAAAGAAGGUUGUUCCACAACAGAAGAUCCUCGCAAAUGUACCUGUUUUGUUUUUGCCUUAAAAAGCUAGGCUCGAAUACUGAGUCGAUACAGCGAUCUAUGAAAAUAGAUUUGCGAAAACACGAAAAUAUUAUUUGUACGAUUACGAUCCAUUUUAAUGAGCUGCUAACUAUGUAUAUGACGCCGAAAAUAGACCGAUUUGAUAUCACCUUUCAAUUCGAAUUAGCAAAAGCAAUGUCUCCUUGCAUAAUAUGGAUUCCAAACAUUCAUGAUCUGUAUAUGAAUGAGUCGAAUUACUUAUCCCUCGGUCUAUUAGAGAACUAUCUCUCCAGAGAUUGUGAAAGAUGUUCCACUAGAAAUAUUCUUGUUAUUGCUUCGACUCAUAUUCCCCAAAAAGUGGAUCCCGCUCUAAUAGCUCCGAUUUUGAUCAUGGACCUCUUAAGUUUUUAUUGUUUACUCAUGUCUAAAAUAAUAAUUAUAUUUUUAAAAACGUAACAUAUAAGUUCCUCCCAUCAAGUCUGAGUUAACAUAGAUUAGAAUCUUCUUACAUGAUAUGUUGACUCAUAAUAAACUAUUAAUAUAAUAAUAUAUAUAACUUAAUUUUUAAAAAAAUUGAUAAUAGGCAGAUUUAAAAUAUGGAUCGGCCACCUAAUCAAUUUCCUUCAAAAUGAGUCUUUUCACGAUCUGACGGGCGACACGCUGGACUUGCCUCGACAUUUGUCAUAGGACAAGAGCCCCUUAGCACCUAUGAUGGUCGAAAAGUCCACAAUGAAAAGCCAAUCCCCCGGGCCUAAAGAGGAAACCACCAGUCGCAUUACGCGCUUCAACAUCCGAAACUUCUCCCCUGUCAUGCCUUGGCUCAUGUCUAACAUUUUCACCAGAUCAAUUAUGGUACAGAAGGGGCGAAGGAUCCUAUCGUUAGUGCUUUCACUUUAAGAGCCAUCACGUAACUUCGGUGUCUUCGAUCUUCCGAGAGCAGGGUCGCUUGCGACAUCAUGCUCACAAGGACGCCAUCAGCCUUGGAUCUUAGUGUCGACCGACAAAGGACUCCUCCGUCGGUGCAGUUAGUAGAUCAGGCGUGAGGGGCCACAAGGAGCCCAUAGAACUCGUCCUCUCAUUCCAUGUCCUCAUCUCCUCAUCAUCAUCAUCAUAAGGUUUCUCAUCCUUGUCCUCAUUGGAUACUUUUGGUAUAGGAUUGAACUGCACACCUCAUCUCUGGUUGGGCUUCAACACAAGCAGCAACAAUAGCUCGUCAACCUUGGUAGCAACAAUAGUGGCGACGACGACAACUACUCUGUUCUCCCCUAACCGUUGUUCCCCACUUUUACUAGUGUUCCGGUUGCCACAAUUAGUAGUUCUUCUAUUCAGGUUCUACUUCUCCAUUUCUCUCAUCACCACUUGCUCGACAACGAGUGCAUUGUCUUCUUAGCAAUAGAGCACGAUGAGGAAUGACACAUGGUGUUAGGAAGUGGAGCAAACAGGAUGGGCAAGGUUGGUGUGGAUCUUGACAUUGGCGAUAAUACAUAAAAAGUGGAAGGUGUGAAAGCACUUCGUGAAAAUUAAUUUGCUCAUCUUCACAAGGUUGAUUAGGCAAUCGGUCUACAUUUUUAAAUUAAUAUAUUAUGUUUUUAAAAACUUAAAUUAUAUAUAUUAUUGUAUUAAUAAUUUAUUAUGAGUCAAAUAAAUUUUAAUAUUUAUUAAUUUAAAUUUAAUAAAAAAAAUUAUAUGUUAUAUAUUUUCAAAUAUAAAAACUAAAAAAGACCGGUGGUGAGCAUGACACUUACCGAUUGCCCUUUAGUAUUUCCUUCUCUGUCAUCUGCGUCGCUCGCUGUUUCGGCGAUCGCAUCACUAAUAUGGCCGCCGCGAGGGUUCUCCUCCGCUAGGAGACGCCGUCGCGCGCGGCCUCCUCCCUGCCCACGGGCCGCCGGCCACCGCCGCCGCCUCCUCUGCGGCUGCCCACUCCUCCCAGACCGACUCGGCGGCGGCCGCGACUAAGCCUAAGCUUACCAAGACCUUCUCCAUCUACCGAUGUACGAGUGUAUUCUUUGCGCCUGCUGCUGGACCUCCUGCCCUAUCUGUUGGUGGAAUCCUGAGGCCUAUCUUGGGCCAGUUGCCCUCCUUCAUGCCCAUAGGUAUAACUUGUCGAUUCAUUUGAAUUCUUUUUACAUUGUUUGGUAUAGCUUUGUUGAUUCAAGUUUGCCGCUUGCUGAUUGGUCUGUGACUGAUUUCAUUGUGAAAUGAAUGAACUUUUGUUGUUUGGUAUCAUGUUAUCAUUAUGUUGAGGAAUAAUGUUCGGCCUACCAUCAUGGGGUUGGAAUGUUGAUGAUCAUUAUGAAUUUAUUUUUUCUUUUUUGUGUCCUUGAGGUGGAAAGAGAAGAUUGGAUUUUAUAAUUUUUCCAACUUAAGAGUUGAUCUCUAGAGAUCCAUUUACUAGAUGAUAUCAUAUGUAGGCGAACAUAAAAAAAAGGCCAAAUUUUGAUUUCAAAAUGACCAUUAUAUAUAUAUAUGUUUUCAGCUAAUCAUGCCUCCUGCAUGGAUUGAAUGUGCACUUGGUGUAGGGUUUUGAAUAGGUUCUCUCUGUUAGAGCGUGGGAUCUUCAGGAUUGUUUUUAAUGAUUUUUAUAAUGCUUUAUCACAGUACAUUUUCAUUGGUGUCAUGUUUUGAUUGGCCAUUAUUAUUAUGGUUGUUGGUUCCCCACCCACGUCACACACACCACUUUGCCAAUUGAAAUUUCUUAAAUUGCGUACAUUUUUAAUUAUAUUUAUUUAGUAAUUGUCUACUUUCUUGUUUUAAUUUUGUGUUGACUAUACUUUAUGUAUUUUUAAAAUAUUAAAUAUAGAUAUAAUUAUAAUCCUUGGUGUAUCAUAUGAGAGACUUGAUGCUUAACAAUAUGAUAGAUCCAUAACCGAGGCAUUGGAUAACUCACCACUAUCACAUGUGUCAUAUGGUAACAAUCAUAUUAAUAUCAUCAUUCCUAACAUCAAUUAUUAUUUAAAUUUUAAAAUUAUUAAUUAUUUUUAAAUUUUAUAAUAUAAAUUUAAAUAAAAAUUUUAAAUUUAUUAAAUCAUAAAAUAUGAGGUGUCAAUUCCUUUACAACCCUUAAUUGACUAGAACUAUAACUCAAAUGAUCUGAUUGACUUGAACCAAAUAGGUUUUCAACUAUAACCAAAUUGAAACAACAUCAAAUUCACUUAAAACUGAUCCAGAAUCACCCCAAACAAAUCUAAUUGAAUUUGAAUUGGUUCAGUUUGGGUUAUAUAUAUUUGAAUUGGACAGAAUUGGUUCAGUACCAUCCUGAACCAGUCUAAACUGAUCAAACCAACAAAAGGGCCAUCAGCAGGGCUGCUAAGUGGGGGGCACAAGCACUAGCCCAUGUGGACUAUGGGCCCAGUUCAAAUCUGGGUUAAAGCAGGGUUAGGUUGGGUUGCAAAGGCACGAACCAGGCCCAAAUCAUAGGGUCGGGCUCUGGACUGGCCUGCAUGUGCAAUCACAUAGCCAACAUGUGCACAUACAUAAGUGUUCCCUAAACAUGUAAUGCAUCUAAUCAUGAUAAAAUAAAUAAAUAAAUAAAUAGAUAGAUAGAUAAAUAAAGCCCACGACAUAGCUAACCAGGCCCUAAGCAUCCCCUUUGUUCGUGAUUUGUUAGCUUAUUAUAAAAUGUUUGACUCACCUCACACGGCCAAAGAAUUCCCAAGAUAAAGAAACAUCACAAGUGUCUGAUAUAAUCAAAGCAUUUUUCUAUGCAUGUGAUGUGUAUGCUUAGGAUAAAAAGCAUAUGUCAAAUGCAACCAAUGCAUCUCUUUUACACGUGAUACAUUUGCUUAGGAUAAAGAAGCAUCUGAAGCUCCCGAGGCAACCAAAGUGUCUUCUUAGCAUGUGAUGCAUUCGUCUAGGAAAGAAAAAAACAUAUGAAAUGCUUGAUCCAACCGACUAUGCCUAAAGCUUCCUCUUUGCAUGUGAUGUGUUUCCCUAGGACAAAAAACUUUAAAGUGCUUGACAUGACCUAAGCAUUCCCUUUACUCAUGAUGCAUCCAUCUAGGAUAAGAAAACAUAUGAAGGGUCCAACUCAAUAGAAACAUCUCAUUUGUAUUUGAUGCUUGGAUAAAAAAUCAUCUAAAGCAUCUAAUAUAAUCAUAUCAUCCCCUUGCAUUUGAUGCAUCUGCCCAGUAUAAAAAAAGUAUUUAAAAUGUUUAACAUUGUCAACCAAACCCAAAGUAUCCCAUUUGCACGUCAUACGUUCGUUUAGGACAAAAAAAUCUAAAGUAUUCUACAUGAUCAUAGUGUGUCAUUAGUGAGUGAUGCGUUUGCCGUAAAAAAAAAAGCUUCCUAAGUGCUCAAUGUGGUUGGUUAGCUUGAAAGCAUCACUUCUGGACAUGAUACUUUUAUAUAAGAUAGAAAAAAGCUCAAUGUGACCAAAGUGUCAACUUUGCAUAUCAAAAAAAUAUUUAAAUCAUCUAAUGGAACUAAAGUAUCCCCUUUGCACAUGAUAUUUUUGUUAAAGUUAAAAAAGUAACCAAGGUGUCUAUCAUGAUCAAAGCAUCCUUUUUGCGCAUGAUGUGUGCGCCUCAGUUAAAGAAGUAUCUAGAACAUCUUAUGAAAUCAUAAUGUCCUCUAUAUACUUGAUGUAUCCACCUAAGACAAAGAAGUAUCUAAAGCCUCCGAUGCAAUCAAAGUAUCGCUUUGUGCGUGAUUCGUUUACUCAAGACAAAAAAAAAAUUAAGAAUCUGACAUGAUCAAAGUGUCACCUUAGA
rnacentral:lncRNA from 1 species